rnacentral:rRNA from 1 species
UACGUAGGGUGCAGGCGUUAAUCGGAAUUACUGGGCGUAAAGCGUGCGCAGGCGGUUUGCUAAGACAGGUGUGAAAUCCCCCGGGCUUAACCUGGGAACUGCGCUUGUUACUGGCAAGCUUGAGUGUGGCAGAGGGGGGGUGGAAUUCCGACGGUGUAGCAGUGAAAUGCGUAGAGAUGUGGAGGAACACCGAUGGCGAAGGCAGCCCCCUGGGCUAACACUGACGCUCAUGCACGAAAGCGUGGGGAGCAAACAGG